AGAGGAGCUUGCUCCUUGGGUGACGAGUGGCGGACGGGGUGAGUAAUGUCUGGGGAUCUGCCCGAUGAGGGGAUAACUACUGAAACGGUAGCUAAUACCGCAUAACGUCGCAAGACCAAAGAGGGGGACCUUCGGGCCUCUUGCCAUCAGAUGUGCCCAGAUGGGAUUAGCUAGUAGGUGGGGUAACGGCUCACCUAGGCGACGAUCCCUAGCUGGUCUGAGAGGAUGACCAGCCACACUGGAACUGAGACACGGUCCAGACUCC
rnacentral:rRNA from 1 species